rnacentral:rRNA from 1 species
UCGCGGGGCCCGCACAAGCGGUGGAGUAUGUGGUUAAUUCGAUGCAACGCGAAGAACUUACCUGGUCUUGACAUCCCGGAGACCCUUAGGAAACUAGGGGUGCUUCCAUCUGGAAGAAUCUGGAGACAGGUGCUGCAUGGCUGUCGUCAGCUCGUGUCGUGAGAUGUUGGGUUAAGUCCCGCAACGAGCGCAACCCUUGCCUUUAGUUGCCAGCAGUUCGGCUGGGCACUCUAAAGGGACUGCCGGUGUUAAACCGGAGGAAGGUGGGGAUGACGUCAAGUCCUCAUGGCCUUUAUGACCAGGGCUACACACGUACUACAAUGGCCGAUACAAAGGGCAGCGACACUGCGAGGUGAAGCCAAUCCCGUAAAAUCGGUCUCAGUCCGGAUUGGAGUCUGCAACUCGACUCCAUGAAGUUGGAAUCGCUAGUAAUCGUGGAUCAGCAUGCCACGGUGAAUACGUUCCCGGGCCUU